AGUGAACGCUGGCGGUAGGCCUAACACAUGCCAGUCGAACGGCAGCACAGUAAGAGCUUGCUCUUACGGGUGGCGAGUGGCGGACGGGUGAGGAAUACAUCGGAAUCUACUUUUUCGUGGGGGAUAACGUAGGGAAACUUACGCUAAUACCGCAUACGACCUACGGGUGAAAGCAGGGGAUCUUCGGACCUUGCGCGAUUGAAUGAGCCGAUGUCGGAUUAGCUAGUUGGCGGGGUAAAGGCCCACCAAGGCGACGAUCCGUAGCUGGUCUGAGAGGAUGAUCAGCCACACUGGAACUGAGACACGGUCCAGACUCCUACGGGAGGCAGCAGUGGGGAAUAUUGGACAAAGGGCGCAAGCCUGAUCCAGCCAUACCGCGUGGGUGAAGAAGGCCUUCGGGUUGUAAAGCCCUUUUGUUGGGAAAGAAAAGCAGCAGGUUAAUACCCCGCUGUUCUGACGGUACCCAAAGAAUAAGCACCGGCUAACUUCGUG
rnacentral:rRNA from 1 species